rnacentral:lncRNA from 1 species
GAUGCUGGGCUUGGCGACUCGGUUUUCCGGCUCGGAAGUGACGCUUUUUUACGCGCCAAUUCUCUCGCGCGGAUCACAGAACCACGCGGGCAGAUAGAGAAGAGAAAGAGACCCGGCUGCGACGAGUCUAACUGCCAACCUGGCAGCACUUCCAGCAAGCGGAAGAGGGUCGGUCAUAUUUAUCCCAUAAUAUGGCUAAUUUUUUUUAGAAAAAGACCUGGCGGCGCGGUUAGUCGGGCCCACCACCCACCCACUGGGGAGUGGGCCCUCCCUCCCGCAUACACGUUGCAGCUGGACGCGGCGUUCACACCAACUCAACGUGCGCCAAUUCGGAAGGAGCACCCAUCUUUCCCCUUUCUCCUUCUCCUCCUCCUGCUCCCAGCCGCUCACUCGAACCCCCCCCCCCCCCCCACCUUCCUCGCCGCCGCUGCCCCGAGGGCGCGGGAGAUAACCUCGCCGGAGCACCGCCACCGCCGCUGUCGAUCUUCUUCCCCGAGGCAAAGCCAGGAGUCUAGACAAACUCAGCUUCAUGAGUUCAAGUUCAGGAAAAGCACUGGCAUCCAGCAUCUCCUAUUCAGCAGGAAAGAGCAGCAUUUUCUUGCUCUGCCUCUUUGCAGGAUACUUGGGAAUUCCUGGCCGAAAAUUCCACUUGCUCAAGACCGUUUGCAGCACUGCAUCUCCUUCCAUCAUUGGAAGUUGUGGAGGGAACCUUCUUUAGACUACUUUAGCACAAGUCUUCAGUUUCUAUUAGUGUGGAAGCUUGGCCUGCAAAACCAGCAACCUUAG